GGAUUGAGACAUUUGGACCAACCGUGAGUGAUCAAUCAUUGGAGCAAGCUAUGGAGCUUGAAUAGCUCAUUGGAAUUGGUGUAUAUUUGUAAAAGUGGAUUGCUGAAACUGUUGGUGAAGAACAAAGGUCGACUGAAGCAUUGAGGUAAGGAUGCUGCAGGAGCCUCUGGUGGCAAGUGGCCAUAUCUGGAUUAUGCAUGAAAUGUGGCAUUCCUUUUGAGUUUAUGCAUGCCUUUGUAGUUGACAUGUAUAGGAAUUUAUUUUCAAAGCCUUUGGUCAUUUGUAUAUCUUGAUUCAUUGGAUGAACUUAGCCUAUGCUCAUGCCUUUGGUUACACCUUUUGUUGAUGGGAGCCAAGGGAAUGAUCAUAGUGUUUUGUAAGCUAAGUUCUAUGAUUUGUAAAUGAUAUGUAAUGUAAAUGAUGCCUACUUGAAAUUCAAUAUAUGCAUGCUUGUUAUGUAUUGAGUUGUUGAAUUGGUUGGGCUGAAAAUCAAUUAGGUACCCUUUGUUUAAAUUGGUAAACGAUGAGAAAACAAAGGUCAUGCUGCCCAAAUUCUAGCUAAAUCUCAUGAGGAGAGGUUGGAUGUGUGCUAGGAUUUAGUUUUGGGGCAUGGACAAUUGGGGUUUGGAAUGGGGAUGCAUCUUCCCCUAGGCUUGGACUUGAAAAAUGUGGGAAUUGGAAUUCCCUGGCAGCGCGCUUAAGCGCCCAGGAGCGCGCCCAAGCGCCCUGCUGCCCCUCCGUGUGCCAAUGCAUUCUGCCUCCUCGCGCUGGAGCGCCCAA